rnacentral:rRNA from 1 species
GACGAACGCUGGCGGCGUGCUUAACACAUGCAAGUCGAACGGAAAGGCCCUGCUUUUGUGGGGUGCUCGAGUGGCGAACGGGUGAGUAACACGUGAGUAACCUGCCCUUGACUUUGGGAUAACUUCAGGAAACUGGGGCUAAUAUCGGAUAGGAGCUCCUGCUGCAUGGUGGGGGUUGGAAAGUUUCGGCGGUUGGGGAUGGACUCGCGGCUUAUCAGCUUGUUGGUGGGGUAGUGGCUUACCAAGGCUUUGACGGGUAGCCGGCCUGAGAGGGUGACCGGCCACAAUGGGACUGAGAUACGGCCCAGACGCCUACGGGAGGCAGCAGUGGAGAAUAUUGCACAAUGGGCGGAAGCCUGAUGCAGCAACGCCGCGUGCGGAAUGACGGCCUUCGGGUUGUAAACCGCUUUCGCCUGUGACGAAGCGUGAGUGACGGUAAUGGGUAAAGAAGCACCGGCUAACUACGUG